rnacentral:rRNA from 1 species
UACGUAGGGAGCAAGCGUUGUCCGGAAUCAUUGGGCGUAAAGCGCGCGUAGGUGGCUUCAUAAGUCCGUUGUGAAAGUCAAAGGCUCAACCUUUGAAAGCCGAUGGAUACUGUGGAGCUAGAGUACGGAAGAGGCGAGUGGAAUUCCUGGUGUAGCGGUGGAAUGCGCAGAUAUCAGGAGGAACACCAAUAGCGAAGGCAGCUCGCUGGGACGUUACUGACACUGAGGCGCGAAAGCGUGGGAGCGAACAGG